GCAUGCCCAGCCUGAGGGGCUCUGCGGGCUGGCGGCGCUUAGUCGCCGCGCUCCCGCCGGUCCCGACCCUGCUGCGGAGCGGGAGCCCACUGUACCGGACACCUGAGCACCCGCUCCAGUACCCGCCAACUCAGGAAUAAAGGCCUGCUCUCAUUCUGCAGGGUGCAAGCUGAGACCAGAGAGGGUGCCCACUCACCCUGCGUUACACAGCAGAGGAAGCUUGGUGAGAUGGGAAAAGGCAGCGUUCUGCAUCUGGCCUCAAACCACUAUGGCUGCAGCGAUUAAGGCAACUCCUAUGACGGGGCUCCAGCCUGACACCACUCUCAAGUCUCGCCAGCCUUGGCCCUCUAGGGUAUCACGUGGUACCACUGGGAUGGUGGGGGGGUCUUCUGUGAUGCUCCGAGAAAUACUUCUAGUUUUUAAAUGGAGGGCAGCGCUUAACCCAAGCAACGGUACUCUCAGGCCCAAACACCUGACCUGGUCCUUGGUGGCGUUUCCCGAGGCCCAUGGAUACUCAUGCCUGUUUACUCACCGUAGCUAGAAACCAGCCCCGCUCCCGCGGCUCCCCUGCUGAGGCUGGUCUGGCCUGAGCAGAGGUGAGAAUUGGAGACUCUUCCUCGUCUGGUUUGUCCACUGUGCUGUUUGUAAGUCAUGUGACCUCAGUCACACCUCGAUGAGGAGGGAGACACAGCUCGCCGCGCUCUCUCAUCCAAGUCCCACCUUCUCUGCUGCUGAAUCAGGAGCUUUAAAAGUUUUUUAAAUUAAAUUUAUUGGGGUAUCAUUGGUUGAUAACAUAAAUUUCCAGUGUACAACUUUAUAAUAUGACAUCUGUAUACUCUAUUGUGUGCUCACCACCCAGAUUCUGGUCUCCUUCCGGCACCAUAUACCAUGUUUCCCCAAAAAUAAGACCCAGCCAGACA